rnacentral:ncRNA from 1 species
UGGGGGUGCUUGAAGUUCGUGACCGCAAGGAGCGACCUAGGGCAAAACCGGUGACUGGGGCUAAGUCGUAACAAGGUAGCCGUACCGGAAGGUGCGGCUGGAACACCUCCUUU